ACCAGACUUGCCCUCCAAUAGAUCCUCGUUAAAGGAUUUAAAGUGUACUCAUUCCGAUUACGGAGCCUCUAAAGAGUCCCGUAUCGUUAUUUUUCGUCACUACCUCCCCGAGCUGGGAGUGGGUAAUUUGCGCGCCUGCUGCCUUCCUUGGAUGUGGUAGCCGUUUCUCAGGCUCCCUCUCCGGAAUCGAACCCUAAUUCCCCGUUACCCGUUACCACCAUGGUAGGCGCAUAACCUACCAUCGACAGUUGAUAAGGCAGACACUUGAAAGAUACGUCGCCGGUACAAGACCAUGCGAUCAGCAAAGUUAUUCAGAGUCACCAUUUAACGAGCCCGAAGACCCGAUUGGCUUUGAUCUAAUAAAAGCACUCCUCACCGUAAAGUUCGGAGUCCAACGCAUGUAUUAGCUCUAGAAUUACCACAGUUAUCCAAGUAGUAAGUGCGAUCUAAGGAACCAUAACUGAUGUAAUGAGCCAUUCGCGGUUUCACUUUAUUUUCGCUUGAACUUAGACAUGCAUGGCUUAAUCUUUGAGACAAGCAUAUGACUACUGGCAGGAUCAACCAG
rnacentral:rRNA from 1 species